rnacentral:rRNA from 1 species
CUAGAGUACUGUAGAGGGGGGUAGAAUUUCAGGUGUAGCGGUGAAAUGCGUAGAGAUCUGAAGGAAUACCGGUGGCGAAGGCGGCCCCCUGGACAGAUACUGACACUCAGAUGCGAAAGCGUGGGGAGCAAACAGGAUUAGAUACCCUGGUAGUCCACGCCGUAAACGAUGUCUACUUGGAGGUUGUGGCCUUGAGCCGUGGCUUUCGGAGCUAACGCGUUAAGUAGACCGCCUGGGGAGUACGGUCGCAAGAUUAAAACUCAAAUGAAUUGACGGGGGCCCGCACAAGCGGUGGAGCAUGUGGUUUAAUUCGAUGCAACGCGAAGAACCUUACCUACUCUUGACAUCCAGAGAACUUUCCAGAGAUGGAUUGGUGCCUUCGGGAACUCUGAGACAGGUGCUGCAUGGCUGUCGUCAGCUCGUGUUGUGAAAUGUUGGGUUAAGUCCCGCAACGAGCGCAACCCUUAUCCUUGUUUGCCAGCGAGUAAUGUCGGGAACUCCAGGGAGACUGCCGGUGAUAAACCGGAGGAAGGUGGGGACGACGUCAAGUCAUCAUGGCCCUUACGAGUAGGGCUACACACGUGCUACAAUGGCGCAUACAGAGGGCGGCCAACUUGCGAAAGUGAGCGAAUCCCAAAAAGUGCGUCGUAGUCCGGAUUGGAGUCUGCAACUCGACUCCAUGAAGUCGGAAUCGCUAGUAAUCGUGGAUCAGAAUGCCACGGUGAAUACGUUCCCGGGCCUUGUACACACCGCCCGUCACACCAUGGGAGUGGGCUGCAAAAGAAGUAGGUAGUUUAACCUUCGGGGGGACGCUUACCACUUUGUGGUUCAUGACUGGGGUGAAGUCGUAACAAGGUAGCGCUAGGGGAACCUGGCGCUGGAUCACC